ensembl:lncRNA
CAGAAGAUUCUUAAUUUUUUUUUUUUUUUUUCCAUUUUUUGGGCAGCUCUUGCUGCAUAUGGAGGUUCCCAGGCUAGGGGUCUUAUCGGAGCUGUAGCCACCGGCCUACGCCAGAGCCACAGCAACAUGGGAUCCGAGCCACGUCUGCGACCUACACCACAGCUCACGGGCAACGCCGGAUCCUUAACCCACUGAGCAAGGUUAGGGAUCCAACCGGGCACCUCAUGGUUCCUAGUCGGAUUCGUUAAUCACUGUGCACGACAGGAACUCCAAUCUUAAAUGUUUUAUUGUUGUCCUUUGACAAGUAUGAAGAAAAGGUAUCUAUAACGUGACCAGAGAGUUUUAAGAUCCUAAAUGUAAAUAUUGUGUAUAAUUUUUGAAGUAUGAAGGUAGUAAAACUUUAAUUAAACGUUGUAUUGAACAGUUGGAAGAUGUUCAUCAGUUUUUUUAAAUUAAUGAAUUUUAUUGAUGUUCAUCAGUUUUAAGGAAUGUCAUCAAAGUGAUGUAUGUAAAUGUUUCUUCAUCUUUACAUGAUGGUAGAAUUAUAGACUCCCUGUAACUCCCCAAGGAUACCUUUAUCCUCAAUACAAAUUUGAGACCUCUACUGCCAUAGCUCUUCACAAAAUAUUUUGAGGAAGCACCAACCAAUUCUUUUUGCACAAGUGACUUCAGCAAUUGAAUUCACUAGGCAUAGUGUAUUUCCUUAAUAAUCAAAGACAAAAAAAAUUGACACUUGGUUAAACAUUAUAAUGGUUUUAUUUUAGUUUCCAGUUUGUAUGUGUGUGUAUUGUUAUGCAUACAUAUGUAUGUAUUGAUUUUAGUUGACUGAUAAGUUAGUUUUCUUUUGGAAAUUAUGGCUCAUUAAAUAAUUUAUACUUAUGACGAAAGAAUAGUCAGUAGAUCACUAGAGUCUUUUUUAUUUCCACUAUUAAGAAGCGGCACCCCCCCCCCCAGAGGCUUACACUCUGGUUUAUAAAUAUAAGAAAUAUGUGAGAAGAUAACUAACAUAAAAUUGUCAAAUGAGUGCUAUUGACGAGUGUUGAGAGGCUGAGGGUGAUAGGAAAGGGCUCAUUGUAAAUAAUUUAUUUUGAGUUGAAUCUUGAAGGAUUGGGUUAGUUUUUUCCCAAAAUGCUAGGGGUCUUAUCAGAGCUGUAGCCACGGGCCUACAGAGCCACAACACCGUGGGAUCCGAGCCGAGUCUGCAACCUAUACCACAGCUCACGGCAAUGCCGGAUCGUUAACCCACUGAGCAAGGCCAGGGAUCGAACCCGCCACCUCAUGGUUCCUAGUUGGAUUCGUUAACCACUGCGCCACGACGGGAUAUACACAAAUCUUAAGUUUACAUACAUUCUUGGAAAUUUUACACAUUUCUAUAACCCAAUCCCCAUCAAGGUGUAGUAUAACCCCAUUAUCCUAAAAUGUCCCCUUAUACCCAUUCCCUGUCAAUUCUUGCCCCCACCCUCCCAGACUUAAUCAUUGUCACCUUUGAUUUUUUUUGGUAGACUAAUUUUGCCUAUUUUAGAUCUUCCUGUAAAUAGAUUCAUGUAUUGUGCACUCUAUAAAUGUCUCACUCAGCAUAAUGUUUUUGAUUUACAUUGUUAUGUAUAUCAGAAGUUCCUUUUUUUUGGCUGAGUAAUAUUCUGUUGUGUGAAUAUAAAAAUCUGUCCAUUUGAUUGAUGGAUACCUGAACUAGUUCCAGUUUUUGAUUAUAAUGAACUGUUAUGAAUAUUUCUCUUUUUGUUGAAAAUAUCUUUUCAUUUCUUUUGGGUAAAUACUUAGCUGUUGAAUUUCUGGGUCAUAGGUGGGUAUAUGCUUAAUUUUAUAAGAAGCUUCAAUAUCUUUCCCCAAAGUGGUUGUACCAUUUUAUAUCCCUACUGACAAUGUAUGAGAGUUGCAUUUAUUCUACAGUCUCGUCAAAAUAUGCUGUUUUCAGUCUUAAAUUUUUGCUACUCUGGUGUGUGUGUAUAGUAGUGACUCAUUGUGGUUUCACUUUCUUGAUUUUUCUGAUGAUUGAUGUUGUUGGUCAUUUUUUUCUCUUAUGCUUAUUAGAGGAUGUUCAAAUCAUUUGGCCUUGUCAAAAUUGGAUUAUUAUUCAUUUUAUUUUGCGUUGUUACUUUAUAUGUUAUAGUGCUUAAGUAUGAACUCCUUUCUUCUAUACCAGAUUGUACCUUUACUGAACAGAGAUUCAGUAAAAUUCAGUAAAUUACCUGUGAAAGAUAGUUAAUCUUAUUGAAGUAAAAAUAAUACAGACUUUUAUUAGCACGUUAUGGAUGGUGGGGCAGGUUAAUAAGAAAAUUGUGGGUUUUAAAAUUUUUGAUAUAAUUUCUCAAGUUGAUCUAACUAAUUUCUUUGCUGUCCAUCAGGAGAAUCCAAAACUAUUUGAAUAGAGGAGGAUGAUAUAGAUAAGUAAUCAUUAAAAUAACUAUGAAUUAUUCCUAGGAAGUAAAUGACUAUGAAUAUAUGAAGUGAAUCUAAUAUGAUCCAGGCAUUAGGAGGGUUAAAAAUACAGUUAGUUAAUGGUAAUGAGAUCACUUGUCUUUGGAUUUGAAAAUUUUUGUUUCUAAAAGGCCUUGGUAGAAACCACUAUGUGUUUGUUUCCUUUGCAUGUCUUGUUAUUAUAAUAUGUCUGUAUAUCGAUUCCAGAUAUAAUAAUCUUAGAAUAAGAAAUAAUUUAUUAUUUUAUAAAAUAGUUUAUUUUGUUAUCCUUUAAAAAUUGUUAUGUUUUGGAAUCUUUAAAAAUGUUGAUGCUUUAGAUAAGGUGUAUCUGGUAUUGAUGUAACAUUUUUACCCUGUUAUGGAAAAAAGCAUUUCAUUAGGAUCAAAGAUAUUUGCAGAGUAUUUGAUAUUUUUAAUUGUGCAAAAUGUACAAACAGUGAGAGAUUUCCUAGAGUGAAGACAUUGUGGUUAGUAUACUAAUAAAUUUAAAAAAAGAAAUAUGUACCAAAUUUUUAUAUCCAGAAAAGAUUUUUUUUUUCUUUUUUCUUAGUUAUGGUCUAAGGACAAAAUUUUUGUGUUGGAUGAGAGAAAAACGGGACAUGUUUUUCUUUCAUGUGGCUAUGUACUCAGUAAAAACCAAAGGUUUCAUUACUGAGGAAGAGAGAAGGAUAUACUGGAGGGUAAACUAGCAGCCAGGUUAACUCUAAGUCUAGAGAAGCACUGACUGAGAAAAAUGAUCUCUUUUAUCAUAUUCUUUAGAGGAAAUGGUUAUAAAAUAUUUGGAAUAUAAAUAAGGAAGAAAAAACAAACACAUGGUAGCAAAAGUAGAUAAGUUAAUUUCACAUCUGUGAAGAUAUAUCAUCCCUCAGACAUUCCUUUUUCAUAAACAAAAUAGUAGAGUAACACUGAAAACUAUUAGACUUUCCUAGUUAACUUGCAUCAAUAUUUUAAUGUUUACUUAGUUUGACCACAUUAUUUCCUCUCGUCUUUCAGAUUUAUUGCCAUUUCUAACCAUUCCUGAAUUCUGUGAACAAUGGCAAAUUUUGCUAAGUCUCUUUUCUGGGCCAAAAAUAACCAGUUUGACUAAUUCAAAUUAUAGAAAGGAAACUCUGGCCACAAAAUUAAGAGAAUUGUUGAAGGUCAUACUAAUGGAUGACAGAGCCAUUAACCUAGGUCUCUUCACCCUAUUACUGAGGCAGCUGUGUCAAAAAAAAAAAAAAAAAAAAAAAA